rnacentral:rRNA from 1 species
UACGGAGGAUUCGAGCGUUAUCCGGAUUUAUUGGGUUUAAAGGGUGCGUAGGCGGGAGAGUAAGUCAGUGGUGAAAGUUUGUAGCUCAACUAUAAAAUUGCCAUUGAAACUGCUUUUCUUGAGUGCAAAUGAGGUAGGCGGAAUGUGUUGUGUAGCGGUGAAAUGCUUAGAUAUAACACAGAACCCCAAUUGCGAAGGCAGCUUACUGGGAUGCAACUGACGCUGAGGCACGAAAGCGUGGGGAUCAAACAGGAUUAGAUACCCUGGUAGUCCACGCAGUAAACGAUGAAUACUAGCUGUAUGCGAUAUACUGUAUGCGGCACAGCGAAAGCGUUAAGUAUUCCACCUGGGGAGUACGUUCGCAAGAAUGAAACUCAAAGGAAUUGACGGGGGCCCGCACAAGCGGAGGAACAUGUGGUUUAAUUCGAUGAUACGCGAGGAACCUUACCCGGGCUUGAAAUGCAGAGGAAUGACGUGGAAACAUGUCCGCCAGCAAUGGUCUCUGUGUAGGUGCUGCAUGGUUGUCGUCAGCUCGUGCCGUGAGGUGUCGGCUUAAGUGCCAUAACGAGCGCAACCCCUAUCAUUAGUUACUAACAGGUUAAGCUGAGGACUCUAGUGAGACUGCCACCGUAAGGUGUGAGGAAGGUGGGGAUGACGUCAAAUCAGCACGGCCCUUACGUCCGGGGCGACACACGUGUUACAAUGGGGGGUACAGAGGGUUGCUACCUGGUGACAGGAUGCUAAUCUCAUAAAGCCUCUCUCAGUUCGGAUCGAAGUCUGCAACUCGACUUCGUGAAGCUGGAUUCGCUAGUAAUCGCGCAUCAGCCAUGGCGCGGUGAAUACGUUCCCGGGCCU